CAGUAGCCGCGGUAAUACGUAGGGUGCAAGCGUUAAUCGGAAUUACUGGGCGUAAAGCGUGCGCAGGCGGUUUGUUAAGACAGAUGUGAAAUCCCCGGGCUCAACCUGGGAACUGCAUUUGUGACUGGCAAGCUAGAGUCUGGCAGAGGGGGUGGAAUUCCGCGUGUAGCAAUGAAAUGCGUAGAUAUGCGGAGGAACACCGAUGGCGAAGGCAGCCCCCUGGGCCAACACUGACGCUCAUGCACGAAAGCGUGGGGAGCAAACAGGAUUAGAUACCCCCGUAGUCCCUGUCUCUUAUACA
rnacentral:rRNA from 1 species